rnacentral:piRNA from 1 species
UGAGCCAAAGAUCAGAAGUGAGUCUUCUGAC